rnacentral:rRNA from 1 species
GUGCUUGGGCGAGAGUAGUACUAGGAUGGGUGACCUCCUGGGAAGUCCUUGUGUUGCACCUC